GACGGAGGGUGCGAGCGUUGUUCGGAAUCACUGGGCGUAAAGGCGCGUAGGCGGCAUGCCGAGUCGGGCGUGAAAGCCCGGGGCUCAACCCCGGAGGUGCGCCCGAUACUGGUAAGCUGGAGGCCGGGAGAGGGGGGUGGAAUACCCAGUGGAGAGGUGAAAUUCGUAGAUAUUGGGUGGAACACCGGUGGCGAAAGCGGCCCCCUGGCCCGGACCUGACGCUGAGGCGCGAAAGCGUGGGGAGCAAACAGG
rnacentral:misc_RNA from 1 species